rnacentral:rRNA from 1 species
UACGAAGGGGGCUAGCGUUGCUCGGAAUCACUGGGCGUAAAGGGCGCGUAGGCGGCCUACUAAGUCAGACGUGAAAUCCCCCGGCUUAACCUGGGAACUGCGUCUGAUACUGGAAGGCUUGAAUAUGGGAGAGGGAUGUAGAAUUCCUGGUGUAGCGGUGAAAUGCGCAGAUAUCAGGAGGAACACCGGUGGCGAAGGCGGUUCUCUGGGCAUUACCUGACGCUGAGGAGCGAAAGUGUGGGGAGCGAACAGG